rnacentral:lncRNA from 1 species
GAGCACAGGUGUUUGCAGUUGCAAAUGGAGACUAAGAGCCUGAGAUUCUGGAGCAGACGUGGCAUGUCAGUGUGGCUCCCCUCACCUGCAGGGGCUUGGAGAAGGACGGCUCCCUUCUAGCAGGCCGUCCUCCACAAAUCAUAUGUCCCAGAUAAGCAGCCAGCAGGCAGAAAGAUCAGCUUAGCUCUGACUGCCAGUGGGUAAGGCCAAGAAGGAGCCUGGCAGACAAAUGGAUGGCUGCUGGCCUUGAACAUGGCAGAGCUGCUGGGUGUGCCAGAUCAAAAAGCAGAGAGCAGGCCAGCAGCAGCAGACUGUUCUCAGCGCUGGAGAAAUGCAUUGCUCUGCCCACUACACCCUCAACCAUCCAUAUGCCUCUGCCACAAAGGGGGAUACUGCAAAUGGAUCAACAUAGGAAAGAUGAGGUUUGAUGGAGAUUCUCAGUGUACACACACAAUGCUUGUAAGAUUCUUUUCUGUUUUGCAAUCAAAGUAACUCUCACAUUAGUGUUUAGUGGUAAGAUGAUUUUUUUACUAAAACAAAGAGAAAACAUCCCAGAAGCUCUUCCAUUAACCACUGUUAAUGUGUAAUGUACAAAUUGAAGGGAUUGGACUAAUCACUAAAGCCUCUGUCAGGACUAACAGCUUAUGAUGCAUUGAGACGCUGAAAGGAAGUUGAAGAACCACUGGCAAAUGGACACAGAUGAAUCGUUUUCUAGUUACUCAUAUUGUGAGGGCGGGGAAAAUCUCUGAACUCCAGAGAGGCUUAGGAUGGAGACUAAGGCCAAGACAUUUGCUUUAGAGACCAUUUCAGAUAUGUUGGGCCCAGGAGACUUUCACUUGGUUCUGCAGAAUUCUGAGAUUUGUGAUGCUGAUUUUUUUUUCUCCUAAUCUUGCCUUUUUCCUGCCUGGAAUUGUUAGUCUCAGACCCUCCCAGGAGCUUCAGAGUCUAAGAGCCUGGCACCAGAGAAAGAGAGAGAGAGAGAUGCCACUAGAACUUGGACUGCUCCACAGGACAGUUGAGCACUUCCCCAGAAUCUGUGGGGAGGUUUUCACUUUUGGAAGCAGUAGUUGUUUACAGAUUUCUGUAACAUUUAAAAUGUUAAAUACAAGCUGGGUUUAUAUCUCACCUCCAACUUUUUCCAGCUGCUUGACUUUUGAUGAGUUCCUUAACCUCUUAGGGCCUUAAUUUCCUCAGCUGUAAAACAGGAUGAUAAGAAUAUACCCACCUCAGGUGGUUCUAAUGAUGACAUGAGAUGGGGGAUGCAAAGUGCUCAGUGCAGUACCUGACGCAUAAUAAGUAGCUGAGAAAGGUCGUUAGUAUUAUUAUUAUCAUCCUAGAUAAAAAAGGAAGGUUGCAGCCAUGGAAACUGCUCAGUGGCCUAGAAUCAUAGGCAUUUGCCAUGCAUUUGUCUUCCAAAUUUAAUUCCAGGUGCCUUUCAAGACUGAUGGCCUCUCUGAUGCCACACUCUGGUUUGCCUUCAUUAAGCCAGAUUCUAACCCUCUCUUUUUAAGACACUUAACCACAUUCUUUUUCAUGUAUGAUUUUUAUGUGUCUGCUUACCUUCCUACUAGACUGUAAACAUCUUGAGAAUAGAGACUACCCUUUCAUCUUUCAAUAAAUGCCUAGACCUCAGCAAUUGUUUAAUGAAUUUUUUUAAUAGGGAAAAAUGUCUUUUUUCUGUAGGUCUUGGAUCAGACCAUUUAACCCUAUAGCAGCCUUGUCUCCAAAGGGAAGAAAAGAGUAACAGUGGGCUAGGUUUCAUUCUCCUGAAGAAGGGCACGGCAUUGCCUCAUCCUGAGUGGGCAGCUCCAGAGCAGGGCCAGGGCUCACAUCUUCUAGAAGCCAGCUGUCAUCUGUCUGUAAGAUUCAUUGACACCAGCUUGUCUCCAGCCUGAAGGCUCCCUGGCCCUGGGCUCAGGCAGAAAUGGCUCCUCCUCCCCUCCUGGCUGCUGUCUGUCUUCAGUUCAGCCUGCCUCUCCCUCCUGAUUGCUCUGGCUGAAGCAAGAAGCCAUGAAGAUGGCUCUGUAGCUGCAAGUUGCAUCAGGUUGCCUCUGGGAGAAAGAGAGAAAGCAGACCCGGCUUAUGCAACUCUCUCUCCCCAUACACUGAAUCUCUGAAGUUCCUGGCCAACCCCCUCAGCUUCCCACCAGAGUUUGCCAAGGCUUGGCUUGGCAGGAACAAGGCCCAAAGAGCUACACAGAGCAUCUCCCAGACAGUGGCCACUGAGAACCAUCUCCUGUCAAGGGAAGGUAGAAGGCCAAGGGCACAGAGACUUGUUGCCAGAGAAAUUAGAGGUUAUUAAGAAGAUGAAUUACACUGAUUGAAUUUUAAAGUUAAACCACCUUUGCAUCCCUGGAAUAAACUCUACUUAGUCAUGAUGUAUUAUCCUGUUUAUAUCUUGUUGAAUUCAACUUGCUAAAACUUUAUUUAGAAUUUUUUAUGCAUAUUCAUGCAGGAUAUUGUUCUGUACUUUUCUUAUAAUGUCUAUGUUUGAUUUUGGUAUUAUGGUAAUACUGGCCUCCUCUUCCAUUUUCUGGAAGGGUUUAGGUAGAAUUGGUAUUGCUUCAUCAUUAAAUAUUUGAUAAAGUUCACCAGAGAAGCCAUCUGGGCCUGGAGUCUUCUUUGUGGGAAGAUUUUUAACUGCAAAUUCAAUUUCUCUAAUAGAUAUAGGAAUAUUCAUGUUAUCUAUUACUUUUCAUGUGAGCUUUGGUACUUGUGUCUUUUAAGGAAAUUAUCCAUUUCACCUAAGUUAUUAAAUUUAUUGGUAUAACAUUAUUCAGAGUAUUUCUUUACUAUCUUUGUAAUUUUGUAGAAUUUAUAGUGAUGUU